rnacentral:rRNA from 1 species
UCCAGACUCCUACGGGAGGCAGCAGUGGGGAAUCUUCCGCAAUGGGCGAAAGCCUGACGGAGCAACGCCGCGUGAUCGAAUGAAGGCCUUCGGGUUGUAAAGAUCUGUUGACAGGGACGAAUAAGCAAUGCGAAUAGUUUUGUGUAUGACGGUACCUGUUUAGAAAGCUCCGGCUAACUACGUGCCAGCAGCCGCGGUAAUACGUAGGGAGCAAGCGUUGUCCGGAAUUACUGGGCGUAAAGGGUGCGUAGGUGGUUUCUUAAGUCAGAGGUGAAAGGCUACGGCUCAACCGUAGUAAGCCUUUGAAACUGGGAAACUUGAGUGCAGGAGAGGAGAGUGGAAUUCCUAGUGUAGCGGUGAAAUGCGUAGAUAUUAGGAGGAACACCAGUUGCGAAGGCGGCUCUCUGGACUGUAACUGACACUGAGGCACGAAAGCGUGGGGAGCAAACAGGAUUAGAUACCCUCGUAC